GAUGAACGCUAGCGGCAGGCCUAAUACAUGCAAGUCGAACGGUAGAUUUGGUAGCAAUACUGAAUUGAGAGUGACGUAAGGGUGCGUAACACGUAUGCAAUCUGCCCUCAACAGGAGUAUAGCUCGGGGAAACUCGGAUUAACCCUCCAUAAGAUCUUAGGGUGGCAUCACCUAGAGAUUAAAACUUCGGUGGUUGAGGAUGAGCAUGCGCAUGAUUAGUUAGUUGGAGGUGUAACGGACCCCCAAGACGAUGAUCAUUAGGGGAACUGAGAGGUUGAUCCCCCACACUGGCACUGAGAUACGGGCCAGACUCCUACGGGAGGCAGCAGUAGGGAAUAUUGGUCAAUGGGUGAGAGCCUGAACCAGCCAUGCCGCGUGCAGGAAGACGGCCUUCUGGGUUGUAAACUGCUUUUAUCUGGGGAUAAAAAGACCGUGCGCGGUUAAUUGAAGGUACCAGAUGAGUAAGCACCGGCUAACUACGUGCCAGCA
rnacentral:rRNA from 1 species